GACGAACGCUGGCGGCGUGCUUAACACAUGCAAGUCGAACGGAAAGGCCCUGCUUGCAGGGUACUCGAGUGGCGAACGGGUGAGUAACACGUGGGUGAUCUGCCCUGCACUUCGGGAUAAGCUUGGGAAACUGGGUCUAAUACCGGAUAGGAGCCAUCUUUAGUGUGGUGGUUGGAAAGUUUUUUCGGUGUAGGAUGAGCUCGCGGCCUAUCAGCUUGUUGGUGGGGUAAUGGCCUACCAAGGCGGCGACGGGUAGCCGGCCUGAGAGGGUGUACGGCCACAUUGGGACUGAGAUACGGCCCAGACUCCUACGGGAGGCAGCAGUGGGGAAAAUUGCACAAUGGGCGCAAGCCUGAUGCAGCGACGCCGCGUGGGGGAUGAAGGCCUUCGGGUUGUAAACUCCUUUCGCUAGGGACGAAGCUUUUUUGUGACGGUACCUAGAUAAGAAGCACCGGCUAACUACGUG
rnacentral:rRNA from 1 species